rnacentral:rRNA from 1 species
AUGGGAACGCGAAGAACCUUACCUACCCUUGACAUGGCAGGAAUCCUGAAGAGAUUUGGGAGUGCUCGAAAGAGAACCUGCACACAGGUGCUGCAUGGCUGUCGUCAGCUCGUGUCGUGAGAUGUUGGGUUAAGUCCCGCAACGAGCGCAACCCUUGUCAUUAGUUGCUACGCAAGAGCACUCUAAUGAGACUGCCGGUGACAAACCGGAGGAAGGUGGGGAUGACGUCAAGUCCUCAUGGCCCUUAUGGGUAGGGCUUCACACGUCAUACAAUGGUACAUACAGAGGGCCGCCAACCCGCGAGGGGGAGCUAAUCCCAGAAAGUGUAUCGUAGUCCGGAUUGUAGUCUGCAACUCGACUGCAUGAAGUUGGAAUCGCUAGUAAUCGCGGAUCAGCAUGUCGCGGUGAAUACGUUCCCGGGUCUUGUACACACCG